UACGUAGGGGGCGAGCGUUGUCCGGAGUUACUGGGCGUAAAGCGCGCGCAGGCGGUCUGUGAAGUUUGGAGUGACAGUUGGUGGCUCAACCACCAAAGUGCUUUGAAAACUGACAGACUUGAGGGCUUCAGAGGGACACGGAAUUCCGGGUGGAGUGGUGAAAUGCGUAGAGAUCCGGAGGAACACCAAAGGCGAAGGCAGUGUCCUGGGGAGUACCUGACGCUCAGGUGCGAAAGCCAGGGGAGCGAACGGG
rnacentral:rRNA from 1 species